CCCAUGCCCUCUCUCUCUCUCUAAGUGUCCUCCUUUGGAUCUAGGAGAGAGGUAGGCGGCAUCCCCUUCCUUGGUGUCAUGGGUUGGCGCCAAGGAUCUUGGUUUCUUAUUCUUCCUCUCAAGUUUGUUGAGAGUUAGUUACAAUCACUUCUUAUUAGUAAUUCUUCUUGAUUAGUUGAGGGAUCAAGAAAGAUUCUUGACUUUUUUAAGAAUCAAAAAAGAAAGAUAAAAAAAAGGUUC
rnacentral:lncRNA from 1 species